GACGGAGGGUGCUAGCGUUGUUCGGAAUCACUGGGCGUAAAGAGCUCGUAGGCGGUCUGUCGCGUCGGUCGUGAAAACUUGGGGCUUAACCCCGAGCUUGCGGUCGAUACGGGCAUGACUGGAGUUCGGCAGGGGAGACUGGAAUUCCUGGUGUAGCGGUGAAAUGCGCAGAUAUCAGGAGGAACACCGGUGGCGAAGGCGGGUCUCUGGGCCGAUACUGACGCUGAGGAGCGAAAGCGUGGGGAGCAAACAGG
rnacentral:rRNA from 1 species